CAAAAGAGUGGGAAGAGCUUUAAGUAGAGGUGAUAAACCUACCGAGCACAGUUAUAGCUGGUUACCUGAGAAAUGGAUAGAAGUUCAGCCCUUACAGAUAUUUCCCCCACCGCCUUAAAAUUAUAAUGAUAAAGGAAAAUUAAGGAGUUAGACAGAAGGGGUACAGCUCUUCUGAGUAAAGAAACAACUUUAGUAGGUGAACCAAAAUCAUAUUAAUCAAGGACUAAAAUUUAAGUGGGCCUAAAAGCAGCCACCUUUUAAGAAAGCGUUAAAGCUCCAACUACCAAUCCACCCUCUUAUACUGAUAUAUAACUUUUUCCCCCUACUACCUAUCAGGUUAUCUUAUGCCGCCAUAAGAACAAUUAUGCUAAAAUGAGUAAUAAGAAGAAACUUCUUCUCCCAGCAUCCGUGUAAGUCAGACCGGACCACCCACCGAUUAUUAUACGACCCCAAACUCAGAGGGCCAUAAGCCAAAAAACAAGAAAACCACUUAACUAAUAUCGUUAACCCCACACAGGAAUGCAUCAAGGAAAGACUAAAAGGAAAGAAAGGAACUCGGCAAACCCAAGCCUCGCCUGUUUACCAAAAACAUCGCCUCUUGAACAACAUAAUAUAAGAGGUCUCGCCUGCCCAGUGACUAAAUGUUAAACGGCCGUGGUAUCUUAACCAUGCGAAGGUAGCGUAAUCAUUUGUCUUUUAAAUGAAGACCUGUAUGAAUGGCAAAACGAGGGCUUAACUGUCUCCCUUCCCCAGUCAAUGAAAUUGAUCUCCCCGUGCAGAAGCGGGGAUCAAAUUAUAAGACGAGAAGACCCUGUGGAGCUUUAGACUUAAAAUAACCCUGUAAAAUAAACUUUAACACAAGCAUAAACUUAAGGAGUCUUAUUUAAAUGUCUUUGGUUGGGGUGACCACGGGGUAAAACAUAACCCCCAUGAAGAUUGGGAACAUACUCCUGGCACUAAGAGACACCCCUCUAAGUAACAAAAUUUUUGACUUUAAAAAUGAUCCGGCACAGCCGAUUAACGAACCCAGUUACCCCAGGGAUAACAGCGCAAUCCCUUCCCAGAGCCCUUAUCGACGAAGGGGUUU
rnacentral:rRNA from 2 species